rnacentral:rRNA from 1 species
CGUAGGGGGCAAGCGUUGUCCGGAUUUAUUGGGCGUAAAGAGCGUGUAGGCGGCCAAGUAAGUCUGCUGUGAAAACUCGAGGCUUAACCUCGAGCUGUCGGCGGAGACUAUUUGGCUAGAGUCCGGAAGAGGAGAAUGGAAUUCCCGGUGUAGCGGUGAAAUGCGCAGAUAUCGGGAAGAACACCCGUGGCGAAGGCGGUUCUCUGGGACGGUACUGACGCUGAGACGCGAAAGCGUGGGGAGCGAACAGGAUUAGAUACCCUGGUAGUCCACGCCGUAAACGAUGAGUGCUAGGUGUGGGGGGUGUCGACUCCCUCCGUGCCGCAGCUAACGCAUUAAGCACUCCGCCUGGGGAGUACGGCCGCAAGGCUA